rnacentral:rRNA from 1 species
AAUGCUUAGAUAUCACGAAGAACUCCGAUCGCGAAGGCAGCCGCCCGGUGGCCGACUGACGCUGAGGCUCGAAGGUGCGGGUAUCAAACAGGAUUAGAUACCCUGGUAGUCCGCACGGUAAACGUUGGAUACUCGCGGUUGGUUUUUUGUAAGUCAGCCGCCAAGCGAAAGUGUUAAGUAUCCCACCUGGGGAGUACGCCGGCAACGGUGAAACUCAAAGGAAUUGACGGGGGCCCGCACAAGCGGAGGAACAUGUGGUUUAAUUCGAUGAUACGCGAGGAACCUUACCCGGGUUUGAAUUCGGCAGGAAGUCUCCGGAGACGGGGAUGUCCCUUCGGGGUCUGCCGGAAGGUGCUGCAUGGUUGUCGUCAGCUCGUGCCGUGAGGUGUCGGCUUAAGUGCCAUAGCGAGCGCAACCCUCGCCUACGGUUGCCAUCGGGUGAUGCCGGGCACUCCGUGGGGACUGCCCCCGCAAGGGGUGAGGAAGGGGGGGAUGACGUCAAAUCAGCACGGCCCUUACGUCCGGGGCUACACACGUGUUACAAUGGGUGGUACAGCGGGCAGCGCGGCGGCGACGCCAAGCGAAUCCCGAAAGCCACCCCCAGUUCGGACUGGAGUCUGCAACCCGACUCCACGAAGCCGGAUUCGCUAGUAAUCGCGCAUCAGCCAUGGCGCGGUGAAUACGUUCCCGGGCCUUGUACACACCGCCCGUCAAGCCAUG